AAGAGUAUGGACAGCCUAGAGAAGAGAGAGAGGCAGAAGGAAGCUGGUCAUCUGUCUCAGGAUAAAACAUCAAGAAAUAAAUGUUCCAGGGAAAGGAAUGACUGGAAAGGCAUCAUUUCAACUCUCCCCUCACUGAGCAGGAUCUGGACAUGAACAAGGUGGAGAAAAUGACCAAUCAGCUACAGAUGAUGACCUGUUAGAGGAAUGAACUGCAUUGAAUCCUGGACCAUUAUACUAAUAAUGAUUUGAACAGCAGAACAUAUCUAAAGACCCAGAAAUGAAGAUAAAUGACAGAGAAUAUAUUUCUGUGGACAAGAAACAGUGUCUGUUUCUUGAUCAAACUACAUCACAGUAUUUACAUCGAUCGGAGCCAGCUCGCCAGAAGAGGUUAAAGAGGAGGGUUCGAAAACUUUUUGGAAGUCCGGAAGUUAAAGUUUGUCCUCAGGGAGAGCCUCUACCUAAUACCUCUGAAGAGCAAACACCCCUAAAGACCCAGCAAUAAAGAUACUUGAUAGAGAAUCUAUACUUCCAAGAUUUCCUCCUGGGGACAAGAGUGACUAUAUGUUGAUGGAGGAAAAGUAUACACUGGGUUGGACAGCCCCAUCAAACAUGAAACAACAAAGGAAGACUAAGUCAGCAGACCCAUAGAUCUGAUUGGGGCUGGAUCACCUGGAAGACAGCUGGUAUUUUCUUCACUGGAAACAGAUACACACUGCAGAGAACCUGGAAUCUGCAGGAGUGUGCUGCAUGCAGAUCUGUGCAAAGG